GAGCUUGCAUCAUUAAAAACCUUACAACAAUGGAGUCUGAGAUCCGAUAGAUGUUCGACAAAUCCAAAAAACCAAUCGUAAGCAUUCCAAUACAAGCAUACAUACCAAUUGACAUAGGCUUGCACCAAGCACAAAGCCAUAACAUUCAGAGAUAGCUUACCUAUGGUUGAUAAGUGCAGUUUUAAAUAAAUUCCAAAUCAUCUUGAUAGAACAGCACUGCAGUUUUCCUCUGGCUUCCUCGAG
rnacentral:misc_RNA from 1 species